ACGCUCGACACCUACGGGAGGAGCAGUGGGGAAUAUUGCACAAUGGGGGAAACCCUGAUGCAGCGACGCCGCGUGAGCGAAGAAGUAUUUCGGUAUGUAAAGCUCUAUCAGCAGGGAAGAAACUGACGGUACCUGACCAAGAAGCACCGGCUAAAUACGUGCCAGCAGCCGCGGUAAUCUGAGCGGGCUGGCAAGGC
rnacentral:rRNA from 1 species